rnacentral:lncRNA from 1 species
AAAAAAUUCAUUUUUUAGGUGACUUGGUACACCUUAACUCAUUACCAAGUGGCGACUCCAAUUUUCAUUUCAAAAAACCCUUUUUAAACUAUAACUUUGGGUCAAAUCGUCGCAUUCUCAAAUCCCCAUUUAGACCCAUUUUUCCUUUUAAACCACAAUUUAUUUUCCAAUCACAAAUACAUUUUUUUAAAACCAUUUAUAUUUAUUUAUUUCAUUCAAAAAAAAUGGGGCGCGACACCUACCAAGAGAAAGGUUUUUAUGGAGUAAAUCAAAGUUUUAACGGUUGGUUUGUGAGAUCAAGGCAAGAAAUGGAAGAAACAAGUUGAGAGCUUUCUUUUCUUUUCUUGUUGAGAGGGCUGGCCAAAGGAGCUAAAAAUGAUGAAAUAAAUUGGCCAAAGUUAGCUUUAAAAAAGUAAAAAUAUCUUGGUCAAAAGUCCAAGGAUGAAUUGAAUGGUGACACUUGUCACCUUUUGCUUAAAGUUUAUCUCUUUGUCUCUCUAAUACUAAUCCAUAUAGGUAACUUCUAAUUAUCUCUUAGCACCUUGUAAAAUAAUAUCACUUAAUACAAAACUCUAACAAGUUGUCAAAAAUUUAUCGCAUUUACCGCACUAGCGGGUCCCACGUUGAUAAUACACUUCAAACUUAACGUGGACUAACUUGUAUCAAGGAAAUGAUUUGAAAACUAUAUUCCCUUAUAAAAAUAUAUAAGAAAUUAAUAUAUUGAAGAAAGGCAUAAAAUUAUAGACAAGGAAACAAAAUAAUGUCUCGAAAAUAUAUAAAAAUCUUCGGAUUUUCACACUCAUUCUUUCGGGGCGUCACACGGGUAUUAUCCCACUGACCAAUUAAAGGCAGGCUCGAGUAUUAUCCCACUAACCAAUUAUCAAGACAGGCUCGGGUAUUAUCCCACUAACCUAUUAUCAUGGUAGGCUCGGGUAUUGAUCCCACUGACUAAUUGAAUGGCAGGCUCAGGUAUUGAUCCCACUGACCAAUUGAAGGCAGGUUCAGAUAUUAUCUACUAGCCGAUGUUAUGGUAGGCUCGGGUAUUAUCCCACUAAUCAAUAGUACGGUUGGUUCAGAUAUUAUCUCAUUGACUAAUUGAAUGGCAGGCUCGGGUAUUGAUUCCACUGACCAAUUGAAGGCAGGUUCGGAUAUUAUCUACUAGCCGAUGCUAUGGCAGGCUCUGGUAUUAUCCCACUGAUCAAUGGUACGGUUGGUUCAGAUAUUAUCUCACUGACCAAUUGAAUGGCAGGCUCGGGUAUUGAUCCCAUUGAUCAAUUGAAUGGCAGGUUCGGGUGUUGAUUCCACUGACCAAUUGGAGGCAAGCUCGGGUAUUGAUUCCACUGACUAAUUGAAUGGCAGGCUCGGGUAUUCAUCCUACUGACCAAUGACAGGCAGGUUCGAGUAUUCAUCCACUGACCAAUUGAACGACGGGAUUGGGUUUUAUCCCACUAAUUGUUAACAUCACGUUGGGCUUGGAUUUUAUGCCACCAACCUCGGUAGGCUUGGAUAUGUCCUACUGACCGUCCUAUUAUGAUGGAUUUGGAAUUUAAGCAGGCUUGGGUUAUAUCCCAUUGACCAUUUUAUCGUAUCGAAUUUGGAAUGUCGGUAGGCUUGGGUUGUAUCCCACUGACUGAUGUUAUGGCAGGUUCGGGUCUUAUCCCGUUGACUUUUUUUACGUUUACAGGUUUUAGUUCACAGCAGAAUAACCAAAUGUAAGUAUUUAGUGUCUACGUCUUUGUCUCGAGUCUCUUCGAAACUCAGACAAAGAGGGGCGAACUGUAGACACCAAAAAAUUCAUUAAUUCAAUUUUAUACUUUAUUUACUUAGCUUUACUCAUGCAAUUUUAGCUUUGUUUAUUUAAAUCAAUUUUAUUUUUAUUAUUAUUUAUUCUUGUUUCAUAUUUAUUAUUUUAUUUUUUUAAGGUUGCAAAUAGUAAUUGGUGUU